UUUCCGUAGGAAUUGCGGAAGGAUCAUUGUCG
rnacentral:rRNA from 1 species